CCUACGGGAGUCUUGCACAAUGGGGGAAACCCUGAUGCAGCGACGCCGCGUGCGGGAUGAAGUCCUUCGGGACGUAAACCGCUUUUGUCCGGGAAGAAGUUCUGACGGUACCGGACGAAUAAGCCCCGGCUAACUACGUGCCAGCAGCCGCGGUAAAACGUAGGGGGCGAGCGUUGCCCGGAUUUACUGGGCGUAAAGCGCGCGUAGGCGGCUGCGUAAGUGGGGAGUUAAAGCCCUCGGCUCAACCGAGGAAAUGCUCCUCAAACUGCGGGGCUUGAGUGUAGGAGAGGGGAGUGAAAUUCCCGGUGUAGCGGUGAAAUGCGUUGAUAUCGGGAGGACCACCAGUGGCGAAGGCGGCCCCCUGGCCUACCACUGACGCUGAGGCGCGAAAGCGUGGGAAGCGAACGGGAUUAGAUCCCCUAGUAGU
rnacentral:rRNA from 1 species